UACGUAGGUGGCAAGCGUUGUCCGGAUUUACUGGGCGUAAAGAGCGCGCAGGCGGUCGUUCAAGUCGCGUGUGAAAGCCCCCGGCUCAACUGGGGAGGGUCACGCGAUACUGAUCGACUGGAAGGCAGGAGAGGGUAGUGGAAUUCCCGGUGUAGUGGUGAAAUGCGUAGAUAUCGGGAGGAACACCAGUGGCGAAGGCGAGUCCCUGGACAACACCUGACGCUGAGGAGCGAAAGCGUGGGGAGCGAACAGG
rnacentral:rRNA from 1 species